rnacentral:rRNA from 1 species
GAUCAACGCUGGCGGCGUGCCUAAAACAUGCAAGUCGGACGCUCCGCUUCGGCGGGGAGUGGCGGACGGCUGAGUAGCACGUGGGCGACCUGCCCUCUGGUGGGGGAUAACCGCUCGAAAGAGUGGCUAAGACCGCAUGAGCUCGCCGUUUCGGAGCGGCGAGGAAAGCAGCGAUGCGCCAGAGGAGGGGCCCGCGGCCGAUUAGCUAGUUGGUGGGGUAGCGGCCUACCAAGGCAGCGAUCGGUAGCCGGUCUGAGAGGAUGGCCGGCCAGACUGGGACUGAGACACGGCCCAGACUCCUGCGGGAGGCAGCAGUUAGGAAUUUUGGGCAAUGGGCGCAAGCCUGACCCAGCAACGCCGCGUGGGCGACGAAGCCCUUCGGGGUGUAAAGCCCUUUUCCCAGGGACGAUACUGACGGUACCUGGGGAAUAAGCCCCGGCUAACUACGUGCCAGCCGCCGCAGUAAAAC